UUCCAGCACCCCGAGUGGUCGGGACGUUUAUUGGGCCUAAAGCAUCCGUAGCCGGUUCUACAAGUCUUCCGUUAAAUCCACCUGCUUAACAGAUGGGCUGCGGAAGAUACUAUGGAGCUAGGAGGCGGGAGAGGCAAGCGGUACUCGAUGGGUAGGGGUAAAAUCCGUUGAUCCAUUGAAGACCACCAGUGGCGAAGGCGGCUUGCCAGAACGCGCUCGACGGUGAGGGAUGAAAGCUGGGGGAGCAAACCGG
rnacentral:rRNA from 1 species